rnacentral:rRNA from 1 species
GACGAACGCUGGCGGCGUGCUUAACACAUGCAAGUCGAACGGAAAGGCCCUGCUUUUGUGGGGUGCUCGAGUGGCGAACGGGUGAGUAACACGUGAGUAACCUGCCCUUGACUUUGGGAUAACUUCAGGAAACUGGGGCUAAUACCGGAUAGGAGCUCCUGCUGCAUGGUGGGGGUUGGAAAGUUUCGGCGGUUGGGGAUGGACUCGCGGCUUAUCAGCUUGUUGGUGGGGUAGUGGCUUACCAAGGCUUUGACGGGUAGCCGGCAUGAGAGGGUGACCGGCCACAUUGGGACUGAGGUACGGCCCAGACUCCUACGGGAGGCAGCAGUGGGGAAUAUUGCACAAUGGGCGGAAGACUGAUGCAGCAACGCCGCGUGCGGGAUGACGGCCUUCGGGUUGUAAACCGCUUUCGCCUGUGACGAAGCGUGAGUGACGGUAAUGGGUAAAGAAGCACCGGCUAACUACGUG